rnacentral:rRNA from 1 species
AUUGAACGCUGGCGGCAUGCUUUACACAUGCAAGUCGAACGGUAACAGGCCUUCGGGUGCUGACGAGUGGCGAACGGGGGAGUAAUGCAUCGGAACGUACCCAGAGGUGGGGGAUAACGCAGCGAAAGCUGUGCUAAUACCGCAUGUGAUCUGAGGAUGAAAGCGGGGGACCGAGCAGCAAUGUUUGGCCUCGCGCCUUUGGAGCGGCCGAUGUCGGAUUAGCUAGUUGGUGGGGUAAAGGCCUACCAAGGCGACGAUCCGUAGCUGGUCUGAGAGGACGAUCAGCCACACUGGGACUGAGACACGGCCCAGACUCCUACGGGAGGCAGCAGUGGGGAAUUUUGGACAAUGGGCGCAAGCCUGAUCCAGCCAUGCCGCGUGCGGGAAGAAGGCCUUCGGGUUGUAAACCGCUUUUGGCAGGAACGAAACGGUGUCCGCUAAUACCGGGCGCUAAUGACGGUACCUGCAGAAUAAGCACCGGCUAACUACGUG